rnacentral:rRNA from 1 species
AGCUCCAAUAGCGUAUAUUAAAGUUGUUGCGGUUAAAAGCUCGUAGUUGGAUUUCUUCUCUUGUCAGCCGGUCCUCACUUCGUGAGAGUAUCUGGUCAGAUUUGAGAAUCCUCUUGGGGAACGUCGCUGCGCUUGAUUGCGUGGCACGGUAUCCAAGACUUUUACUUUGAGGAAAUUGGAGUGUUCACGGCAGGCUUUCGCCUUGUACACAUUAGCAUGGAAUAAUAAUAUAGGAUCACGAUUCUAUUUUGUUGGUUUCUAGAGUUGUGAUAAUGAUUAAUAGGGACAAUUGGGGGCAUUUGUAUUAACACGUCAGAGGUGGAAUUCUUGGAUUGUGUUACGACAAACUACUGCGAAAGCAUUUGCCAAGGAUGUUUUCA